rnacentral:rRNA from 1 species
AUUGAACGCUGGCGGCAGGCCUAACACAUGCAAGUCGAGCGGAUGAAGGGAGCUUGCUCCUGGAUUCAGCGGCGGACGGGUGAGUAAUGCCUAGGAAUCUGCCUGGUAGUGGGGGAUAACGUCCGGAAACGGGCGCUAAUACCGCAUACGUCCUGAGGGAGAAAGUGGGGGAUCUUCGGACCUCACGCUAUCAGAUGAGCCUAGGUCGGAUUAGCUAGUUGGUGGGGUAAAGGCCUACCAAGGCGACGAUCCGUAACUGGUCUGAGAGGAUGAUCAGUCACACUGGAACUUAGACACGGUCCAGACUCCUACGGGAGGCAGCAGUGGGGAAUAUUGGACAAUGGGCGAAAGCCUGAUCCAGCCAUGCCGCGUGUGUGAAGAAGGUCUUCGGAUUGUAAAGCACUUUAAGUUGGGAGGAAGGGCAGUAAGUUAAUACCUUGCUGUUUUGACGUUACCAAUAGAAUAAGCACCGGCUAACUUCGUG